UUUCCGUAGGUGAACCUGCGGAAGGAUCAUUAAUGAGUUGUCAUGGGGUUCGAUGCUGGCAGCCAGUUUUUGGAUGCAUGUGCUUGCCCUAACAAUCAUCUUCUUCCAAACACCUGUGCACAUUUUUGAGGGAGUCUUGAGUUGGUUGCCGCUCUUGGGUGAUUUUCUCACAUUCCCUUAAAUCAUUAUACGCUAUUAACAAUGUUGAACGUGCUCUGUGCCGCAAGGCCAUUAAUAUAAUACAACUUUUAACAACGGAUCUCUUGGCUCUCACAUCGAUGAAGAACGCAGC
rnacentral:misc_RNA from 1 species